UUAUUAGAUAAAGAACCAAUAUUUUUGGUGACUCAUAAUAACUUUACGGAUCACAUUAUGUGACAUAUCAUUCAAGUUUCUGACCUAUCAGCUUUAGACGGUAGGGUAUUGGCCUACCGUGGCUAUGACGGGUAACGGGGAAUUAGGGUUCGAUUCCGGAGAGGGAGCCUGAGAAACGGCUACCACAUCUAAGGAAGGCAGCAGGCGCGCAAAUUACCCAAUCCUAAUACAGGGAGGUAGUGACAAGAAAUAACAAUACAGAACCUUACGGUUUUGUAAUUGGAAUGAGUUAAGUAUAAACCCCUUAACAAGUAUCAAUUGGAGGGCAAGUCUGGUGCCAGCAGCCGCGGUAAUUCCAGCUCCAAUAGCGUAUAUUAAAGUUGUUGCAGUUAAAAAGCUCGUAGUUAAUCUUCUGUUAAUUUUUAUAUAUAAUAUUUCGAUAUUUAUAUAAUAUUAACAUAAUUCAUAUUACUUUUUAGUAUAUGAAACUUUACUUUGAGAAAAUUAGAGUGCUUAAAGCAGGCUAUUGCCUUGAAUACUCCAGCAUGGAAUAAUAUUAAGGAUUUUUAUUCUUCUUAUUGGUUCUAGAAUAAAAAUGAUGAUUAAUAGGAACAGUUGGGGGCAUUUGUAUUUAACAGUCAGAGGUGAAAUUCUUAGAUUUGUUAAAGACAAACUACUGCGAAAGCAUUUGCCAAGGAUGUUUUCAUUAAUCAAGAACGAAAGUUAGGGGAUCGAAGACGAUCAGAUACCGUCGUAGUCUUAACCAUAAACUAUGCCAACUAGAGAUUGGAGGUUGUUCCUUACUCCUUCA
rnacentral:rRNA from 1 species